rnacentral:rRNA from 1 species
UACGUAGGGGGCAAGCGUUGUCCGGAAUAAUUGGGCGUAAAGGGCGCGUAGGCGGUUAAAUAAGUCAGUUGUGAAAGUCUGGGGCUCAACUCCAGGAGUGCAGCUGAAACUGUAUAACUUGAGAGCAGGAGAGGGGAGUGGAAUUCCCGGUGUAGCGGUGGAAUGCGUAGAUAUCGGGAGGAACACCAGUGGCGAAGGCGACUCCCUGGCCUGGGACUGACGCUGAGGCGCGAAAGCGUGGGUAGCAAACAGG